rnacentral:rRNA from 1 species
UACGAGGGGGGCGAGCGUUGUUCGGAAUUAUUGGRCGUAAAGGGUGCGUAGGCGGUUUGAUAAGUCUGAUGUGAAAUCUAUGGGCUCAACCCAUAGCCUGCAUUAGAAACUGUCGGGCUUGAGUAUGGGRGAGGUGAGUGGAAUUUCCGGUGUAGCGGUGAAAUGCGUAGAUAUCGGAAGGAACACCUGUGGCGAAAGCGGCUCACUGGACCAUUACUGACGCUGAUGCACGAAAGCUAGGGGAGCAAACAGGAUUAGAUACCCUGGUAGUCCUAGCCCUAAACGAUGAUUGCUUGAUGUGGAGGGUACCCAAUCCUUCCGUGUCGUAGCUAACGCGAUAAGCAAUCCGCCUGGGGAGUACGGUCGCAAGGCUGAAACUCAAAG